AUGAGAGAGUUUUUGUUGUUAUUUCUGGUGAUUCUUCUGCAGUUGAAGAAUGAAUCUGAAUUGGAGCAUUGUCAAUAUGCUCUAAGCCAAGAUAUUUCUCCCAAGCACCAUAAACACCUCGCCUAUGAAAACGACUGGAUACAAUGUCUGAAUUCUGAAGAUAGAGCUUCACCUUCAUGUAUAACCAAGAAAAGGGAUCUCCAAAUUUUUGAAUUCGCAUUUGAUUUUGAGCAGUGUCUUUAG